UCGAAAGGGGGGGGGCCUACACAUGCAAGUCGAGCGGUAGAGAGGUGCUUGCACCUCUUGAGAGCGGCGGACGGGUGAGUAAUGCCUAGGAAUCUGCCUGGUAGUGGGGGAUAACGCUCGGAAACGGACGCUAAUACCGCAUACGUCCUACGGGAGAAAGCAGGGGACCUUCGGGCCUUGCGCUAUCAGAUGAGCCUAGGUCGGAUUACCUAGUUGGUGAGGUAAUGGCUCACCAAGGCGACGAUCCGUAACUGG
rnacentral:rRNA from 1 species